UACGGGAGGCAGCAGUGGGGAAUAUUGGGCAAUGGAGGCAACUCUGACCCAGCAACGCCGCGUGAAGGAUGAAGGUCUUCGGAUUGUAAACUUUUGAUAUAGAGGAAGAAGAUAGUGACGGUACUCUAUAAGAAAGCCCCGGCUAACUAUGUGCCAGCAGCCGCGGUAAU
rnacentral:rRNA from 1 species